rnacentral:rRNA from 1 species
UGCCUGGUAGUGGGGGACAACGUUUCGAAAGGAACGCUAAUACCGCAUACGUCCUACGGGGGAAAGCAGGGGACCUUCGGGCCUUGCGCUAUCAGAUGAGCCUAGGUCGGAUUAGCUAGUAGGUGAGGUAAUGGCUCACCUAGGCGACGAUCCGUAACUGGUCUGAGAGGAUGAUCAGUCACACUGGAACUGAGACACGGUCCAGACUCCUACGGGAGGCAGCAGUGGGGAAUAUUGGACAAUGGGCGAAAGCCUGAUCCAGCCAUGCCGCGUGUGUGAAGAAGGUCUUCGGAUUGUAAAGCACUUUAAGUUGGGAGGAAGGGCAGUAAGUUAAUACCUUGCUGUUUUGACGUUACCAACAGAAUAAGCACCGGCUAACUUCGUGCCAGCAGCCGCGGUAAUACGAAGGGUGCAAGCGUUAAUCGGAAUUACUGGGCGUGAAGCGCGCGUAGGUGGUUCAGCAAGUUGG